UGGUUGGCUGGUGCCUGGAGCCGGCCCUGCUUCCAUCUCUCUGUUCACCCAUGGGCCACCAAACCCUCUGCAAAGGGAGCUCAGCGACGUGAGACCCUCUUGCAGACAGGGAAACCGAGGCACGAAGCAGCCUGGUGACUCCCCCAAGGGCACCCAGCAGAUGGGGAAACUGAGGCCCAGGGAGGCGAAGUGACUUGCCUAGGGUCACGCAGCAGACCAGUGGCAGAGCCAGGAAGAGAACCCAGGUCUCCAGAGUCCCAGCCCAGUGCCCUAUCCAUGAGAACGUGUCCUGUACCACCCGGCUGAGGGGCACAGUGAGGUCAGAGGGCAGCAGCCUCACACUAAUGACAUGUGCAAAGGGACCCAGGAUGGGGGAAUUUACAGGCUGCUGAAUGUGGCCAAGCGGCUUCCACGUCAGAGGGGUGUUUUCUUGGCAGUUUCACCGGGACAUGGGUUGUGGGGCGCUGGCUGCUGUCCCGAUGGCAUGGAACCCAAGGGACGUUCCGGUUCCCCGAUGACAGAAGCAAUUACAUGCCGCACAUCCCAGGAGGGCUGGCAAUUCAAUCUGGGGUUUGUUAGAGCAGAUCGGAUGAGAGAGGCGCUGGCUUUAACGGCUUUGCCCUUUGCAUUAUGAUCUCGCGGCGUGGGGGCUGAUGACCCGACACAGGUUGUGGGACUUUCGGCCUGUGGACUCUUUGGCCUCACAAGGGGAGAGGUUAUGAAUGGCCUGGCCCGAGGGCUGGAGCUGUGGGAAGAGACCGACUGUCACAGCACCGAGCCGCUGUCAGGCAUUGUCACUGCAGCGCCAUGCCCAGCUGUGAGGGGAUGUGCCUGCGGGUGAUUUGCUCCAUUUCAGGACCCAGUGCCCCAGUGAGGCACUAAGUGUGCUGCUC